AGCUUUAUGCAGUGGCAGUAUCAUAGUCAAUGAGGUUUAUUCAAGGUGGAUUAUUGCUAAUUGAAAACUUUUCCUAAUACCCUGCCAUGACAACUUGACACAUAGUUGGCAUUGGCAAUUUUUGACAGUCUCUACGGAGA
ensembl:snRNA U4 U4 spliceosomal RNA